rfam:Oryctolagus cuniculus unplaced genomic scaffold chrTn0049, whole genome shotgun sequence.
CCAAAGGCUCUUUUCAGAGCCACUUUCUUUGUCAUAAAGAAGCUG